CCCUUAGAUGUUCUGGGCAGCACGCGCGCUACAAUGGUCUUCGCAAACGGAUGCAUUCUCGAAGGAGAAUGCCAAUCUUGGAAUCUAUGCCUUGGUCGGGACAGUUGCUUGCAAUUUUUCGACUCGAACCAGGAAUUCCUUGUAAUCGUGAUUCAUCACGUCACGAUGAAUACGUCCCUGCCCUUUGUACACACCGCCCGUCGCUCCUACCGAUUUCGAGUGAUUCGGUGAACCUUUUGGACAGCGUCUGUCCUCGUGUCAGAUGCUGAAAGUCAAGUAAACCAUAUCACUUAGAGGAAGGAGAAGUCGUAACA
rnacentral:rRNA from 1 species